UUAGUGAAAUCGAGUAGGACGGGACACGUGAUAUCCUGUUUGAACAUGGGGGGACCAUCCUCCAAGGCUAAAUACUCCUGACUGACCGAUAGUGAACCAGUACCGUGAGGGAAAGGCGAAAAGAACCCCUGUGAGGGGAGUGAAAUAGAACCUGAAACCGUGUACGUACAAGCAGUAGGAGCCCACUUGUUGGGUGACUGCGUACCUUUUGUAUAAUGGGUCAGCGACUUAAUUUUAGUAGCAAGGUUAACCGUUUAGGGGAGCCGUAGGGAAACCGAGUCUUAACUGGGCGUCAUAGUUGCUAGGAUUAGACCCGAAACCGAGUGAUCUAGCCAUGGGCAGGUUGAAGGUGAGGUAACACUUACUGGAGGACCGAACCGACUAAUGUUGAAAAAUUAGCGGAUGACUUGUGGCUAGGGGUGAAAGGCCAAUCAAACUCGGAGAUAGCUGGUUCUCCCCGAAAGCUAUUUAGGUAGCGCCUCGGACGAAUACUACUGGGGGUAGAGCACUGUUAAGGCUAGGGGGUCAUCCCGACUUACCAACCCUUUGCAAACUCCGAAUACCAGUAAGUAAUAUCCGGGAGACACACGGCGGGUGCUAACGUCCGUCGUGAAGAGGGAAACAACCCAGACCGCCAGCUAAGGUCCCAAAGUUAUAGCUAAGUGGGAAACGAUGUGGGAAGGCUCAGACAGCCAGGAUGUUGGCUUAGAAGCAGCCAUCAUUUAAAGAAAGCGUAAUAGCUCACUGGUCGAGUCGGCCUGCGCGGAAGAUUUAACGGGGCUAAGCUAUACACCGAAGCUGCGGCAAUGUGAAUU
rnacentral:rRNA from 1 species